ACCUACGGGAGGCAGCAGUGGGGGAUAUUGGCCAAUGGGGGGAACCCUGAUCCAGCGACGCCGCGUGAGUGAAGAAGUAUUUCGGUAUGUAAAGCUCUGUCAGCAGGGAAGAAAGAAAUGACGGUACCUGACCAAGAAGCCCCGGCUAACUACGUGCCAGCAGCCGCGGUAAUACGUAGGGGGCAAGCGUUAUCCGGAAUUACUGGGUGUAAAGGGAGCGUAGACGGUUAAGUAAGUCUGGAGUGAAAGGCCGGGGCCCAACCCCGGGACUGCUCUGGAAACUAUUGAACUUGA
rnacentral:rRNA from 1 species